GGCACGAUAGCCAAGUGGUUACGGCGACAGAUUAGCAAUCUGUUCCUCUUUGAGGGCGCAGGUUCAAAUCCUGCUCCUGUCG
rnacentral:tRNA from 1 species